rnacentral:rRNA from 1 species
UACGAGGGGGGGCGAGCGUUGUUCGGAAUUAUUGGGCGUAAAGGGUGCGUAGGCGGUUUGGUAAGUCUUAUGUGAAAUCUACAGGCUCAACUUGUAGUCUGCAUGAGAAACUGCCGGGCUUGAGUAUGGGAGAGGUGAGUGGAAUUCCUGGUGUAGCGGUGAAAUGCGUAGAUAUCAGGAGGAACACCUGUGGCGAAAGCGGCUCACUGGACCAUAACUGACGCUGAGGCGCGAAAGCUAGGGGAGCAAACAGG